rfam:Brassica napus, WGS project CCCW01000000 data, contig: 13778
UGAAUAUAAGAAACCGUUUUUUAACUUUUAACUAAAAAAACUAAGAACAGCUCUUAAAUAUUUUAUAUAAGAAUUGGUUUUUAGUUUUCUUAGUUAAAAAUUAAGAGACAGUUUUUUAUAUUCC